rnacentral:rRNA from 1 species
UACGUAGGGGGCAAGCGUUGUCCGGAAUCAUUGGGCGUAAAGCGCGUGUAGGCGGUUCGGUAAGUCGGCUGUGAAAGUCCAGGGCUCAACCCUGGGAACCGCGCUUGAGACUGGCAUGCUCGAGUUCGGGAGAGGAUGGUGGAAUUCCCAGUGUAGAGGUGAAAUUCGUAGAUAUUGGGAAGAACACCGAUGGCGAAGGCAGCCAUCUGGACCGACACUGACGCUGAGGCGCGAAAGCGUGGGGAGCAAACAGG